AUCCAGCUGACAGGUCCCAAAUAGGACGAAACGCACAUCCUAGAU
rnacentral:hammerhead_ribozyme from 1 species